rnacentral:tRNA from 1 species
GGGGAGAUGCCAGAGUGGACGAAUGGGACCGCCUGCUAAGCGGUUAUACUGGGGUAACCUAGUAUCGCAGGUUCGAAUCCUGUUCUCCCCG